GAUGAAGAACGUAGCGAAAUGCGAUAAGUAGUGUGAAUUGCAGAAUUCAGUGAAUCAUCGAAUCUUUGAACGCACAUUGCGGCAAUAGGUACUCCUUUGGCCAUGCCUGUUCGAGCGUCAUUUACACCCUCAAGCCUAGCUUGGUGUUGGGCGUCUGUCCCGCCGUUCUCGCGCGCGGACUCGCCUCAAAGUCAUUGGCGGCGGUCGUGCCGGCCCCCUCGCGCAGCACAUUUGCGCUUCUCGGAGGCCCGGCGGAUCCGCGCUCCAGCAAGACCUUUCACGACUUGACCUCGGAUCAGGUAGGGAUACCCGCUGAACUUAAGCAUAUCAAUAAGCGGAGGA
rnacentral:misc_RNA from 1 species